rnacentral:rRNA from 1 species
UUGGAGGGCAAGUCUGGUGCCAGCAGCCGCGGUAAUUCCAGCUCCAAUAGCGUAUAUUAAAGUUGUUGAGGUUAAAAAGCUCGUAGUUGAACCUUGGGCCUAGCCGGCCGGUCCGCCUCACCGCGUGCACUGGCUCGGCAGGGUCUUUCCUUCUGGAGAACCGCAUGCCCUUCACUGGGUGUGCCGGGGAACCAGGACUUUUACUCUGAACAAAUUAGAUCGCUUAAAGAAGGCCUAUGCUCGAAUACAUUAGCAUGGAAUAAUAGAAUAGGACGUGUGGUUCUAUUUUGUUGGUUUCUAGGACCGCCGUAAUGAUUAAUAGGGACAGUCGGGGGCACCAGUAUUCAAUUGUCAGAGGUGAAAUUCUUGGAUUUAUUGAAGACUAACUACUGCGAAAGCAUUUGCCAAGGAUGUUUUCAUUAAUCAGGAACGAAAGUUAGGGGAUCGAAGACGAUCAGAUACCGUCGUAGUCUUAACCAUGAACUAUGCCGAUUAGGGAUCGGACGGCGUUAUUUUUUGACCCGUUCGGCGCCUUACGGGAAAC